rnacentral:rRNA from 1 species
AAUGGGGGCAACCCUGAUCCAGCCAUGCCGCGUGUGUGAAGAAGGCCUUCGGGUUGUAAAGCACUUUCAGUUGGGAGGAAGGGGAGUAGGUUAAUAACCUGCUUCAUUGACGUUAACAACAGAAGAAGCACCGGCUAACUUCGUGCCAGCAGCCGCGGUAAUACGAGGGGUGCAAGCGUUAAUCGGAAUUACUGGGCGUAAAGCGCGCGUAGGCGGUUAUUUAAGCCAGAUGUGAAAUCCCCGGGCUCAACCUGGGAACUGCAUUUGGAACUGGGUAACUAGAAUGCAGCAGAGGAUAGUGGAAUUUCAGGUGUAGCGGUGAAAUGCGUAGAGAUCUGAAGGAACAUCAGUGGCGAAGGCGACUGUCUGGGCUGACAUUGACGCUGAGGUGCGAAAGCGUGGGUAGCAAACAGGAUU